AGGGUUCCUGGCAAGGUGAUUUGCGACUGCGUUUCUAAGAAAAAUCACAUUGCCAGGGAUUACCAC
rnacentral:pre_miRNA from 1 species